AGGACGACGCUGGCGGCGUGCCUAACACAUGCAAGUCGAGCGAGGAGAUCCUUCGGGAUGAUCCUAGCGGCGGACGGGUGAGUAACACGUGGGCAACCUGCCUCAUAGAGAGGAAUAGCCUUCCGAAAGGGAGAUUAAUACCUCAUAACAUUGCAGUUUCGCAUGGAACAGCAAUUAAAGGAGUAAUCCGCUAUGAGAUGGGCCCGCGGCGCAUUAGCUAGUUGGUGAGGUAACGGCUCACCAAGGCGACGAUGCGUAGCCGACCUGAGAGGGUGAUCGGCCACAUUGGGACUGAGACACGGCCCAGACUCCUACGGGAGGCAGCAGUGGGGAAUAUUGCACAAUGGGGGAAACCCUGAUGCCAGCAACGCCGCGUGAGUGAUGACGGCCUUCGGGUUGUAAAGCUCUGUCUUCAGGGACGAUAAUGACGGUACCUGAGGAGGAAGCCACGGCUAACUACGUGCCAGCCGCGGC
rnacentral:rRNA from 1 species